rnacentral:rRNA from 1 species
GACGAGGGCGCGAGCGUUGUCCGGAUUUAUUGGGCGUAAAGAGCUCGUAGGCGGUCCAUCGCGUCGGGAGUGAAAAGCUGGGGCUCAACCUCCAGCCUGCAGUGGGUACGGGCAGACUAAGAGUGCGGGUAGGGGAGAUUUGGGAAUUCCUGGUGUAGGCGGUGGAAUGCGCAGAUAUCAAGGAGGAACACCGGUGGCGAAGGCGGGUCUCUGGGCCGAUACUGACGUGAGGAGCGAAAGCGUGGGGAGCGAAC